CACACUUACGUUGAACUCCUCCCGGAACUGCUUGCAGUCGUCGGCCGAGCGGACGCGGAUCUCCUCCUCCAGAAUGAGCUGGUUCUGACGAGGUGAACGUGAUAACUUGGCUGUCAUACCUGCAGAAGAGCCUGUUCCCACCUGCAGAGCGCAGCCGUCCUGAAGCCCAGCCAAAAGCUUUGCCCAAGGCUGGCUCCGAUGACAGACGGGAGGAGAAUGAGUGCCCUGGGCCUCUCAGCUGCCGGCCAGCCGCACCCUCUUCCCUCGCAUCCCGCUGUGGCAACGUGCAGGGUAGGAGGAGGGCAGGAAGGUGGCACCUGGGGACACGCUGCCUCUAACUAGGGCCACGGGUCCCCCAAGCACAAUAAAGCUGCGUCUCGGGGGCACAAGACGCGUUAGGUUUCAGCACAUCUCGGUUUCCA